GCCAUACACCCUGAACGCACCCGAUCUCGUCUGAUCUCGGAAGCUAAGCAGGGUCGGACCUGGUCAGUACUUGGAUGAGAGAAUGAGCCUUCCCAGCUGGGUUGCUCCAAGGAAGAUCUAGCAGGCU
ensembl:rRNA 5S_rRNA 5S ribosomal RNA